rnacentral:rRNA from 1 species
GGGACAUAAUUAACCCUAAAGGCGCAAUGAAAGUGAAGGUCACGCCUAGCGUGCACCGAGGGAAGAUGGGCGGUCGCCCACAAAGUGGCCGCCUCGCACUCCCGGGGCGUCUCGUUCUCAUCGCGAGGAGAGGCGCACCAAGAGCGUACACGCUGGGACCCGAAAGAUGGUGAACUAUGCCUGGUCAGGACGAAGUCAGGGGAAACCCUGAUGGAGGUCCGUAGCGAUUCUGACGUGCAAAUCGAUCGUCGGAACUGGGUAUAGGGGCGAAAGACUAAUCGAACCAUCUAGUAGCUGGUUCCCUCCGAAGUUUCCCUCAGGAUAGCUGGCGCUCGUUGCGCACGAGUCUCAUCCGGUAAAGCGAAUGAUUAGAGGCAUUGGGGUCGAAACGGCCUCAACCUAUUCUCAAACUUUAAAUGGGUGAGAUCUCCGGCUUGCUCGAACUAUUGAAGCCGUGAGACACGGAUCAGAGUGCCAAGUGGGCCAUUUUUGGUAAGCAGAACUGGCGCUGUGGGAUGAACCAAACGCCGAGUUAAAGCGCCUAAAUCGACGCUUAUGGGAUACCAUGAAAGGCGUUGGUAACUUAAGACAGCAGGACGGUGGCCAUGGAAGUCGGAAUCCG